AGAACAUGAGGAGGACAAGGAGAGCACGGGUAGGCUGUGGCUGCCAGGCUAGCUAUGGUCAGAGUGGAAUAUGUUAGAGUACGUCAGAUCAAAUGAUUGGAGUGCCUGCAAUUGCAAAGUGUUAGAGGCAGCAGAACUAAUUCACCCCUCAGCAAAUCGGGAUGUGGAAGAAAUGUAAUCUUGGCUGAUGCGAUCUUGCCUGCAGAGCGCCUUGUGGCUUCACACAAAGGAGAGCUGGUGUUUCUGGUGGGGGAGUGGGGAGGGGGCCUGCAGUGCAUCAGGAGGUAAACGUGCCUGGGAGCAGCUCCACAAGCUCCAAAGUCCUACGUGCAGGAAACAAUUGUCUGAAACAGAGGCCACCGCUUGCAAAUGCCCUGGCCUUUCUCUACCUCCUGCCACCAGGCAGCAUUUCAGAUUCUCCCACCUUAGGAAAUGUUGAGCCUGGAUGAGAAAACAUUGGAAAAAAGUGGGGAGAAAAACAACGAGAAUACUGCGCUGUAAAUUUAAGGGAAGAGAAUAAAUACCCU